CAAUGAGACAACUAUCCACAAAAGACCAAAAUAACACUGACAUUAACAACUAUAGGUCACCGUACGGCCUUCAACAAUGAGCAAAGUCCUUACCGCAUAGUGAGCGGCAAUUUUGUAGAUCUUGUAUUGGUGAUCAUUUAAAAUUGAGAAUGGAAAUGGGGAAUGUGCCAAAGAGACAACAACCCGACCAUAGAGCAGACAACAGCAGAAGGUCACCAACAGGUCUUCAAUGCAACGAGAAAUUCUCGCACCCGGAGGCGUCCUUCAGCUGGC
rnacentral:lncRNA from 1 species